GACGAACCGUGCGAACGUUAUUCGGAAUCACUGGGCUUAAAGGGCGCGUAGGCGGCCACCGCAAGUCGACUGUGAAAUCUCCGGGCUUAACCCGGAAAGGUCAGCCGAUACUGCGGGGCUAGAGUGCAGAAGGGGCAACUGGAAUUCUCGGUGUAGCGGUGAAAUUCGUAGAUAUUCGCAAGAACACCAGUGGCGAAGGCGGCUCACUGGCCCGAUACUGACGCUGAGGCACGAAAGCGUGGGGAGCAAACAGG
rnacentral:rRNA from 1 species